GACAUUAACAGUUGUCUGAUUGCCGGAGGCAAGCGAAAACCCAGUUUGGACAGGUGAAACUCAAUACACACUUGUCCAAUGGGGCAAGUGAUUAUUUCAGUAGGAAAUAUGAUGAUUUUGAUUGUGUUAUGGAUUAGAAAAUAAAGUCAAUUUCCAUUUUUUUUUUCUCUUUACAGAAUCAUCAAUUCUUUUAGGCCCCUGUCUAGUACAUUGUAGAUCGAUUCUUUUAUGCCCGUCUAGUACAUUGUAGAUCGACUCUUUUAGGCCCCUGUCUAGUACAUUGUAAAUCGAUUCUUUUAUGCCCCUGUCUAGUACAUUGUAAAUCGAUUCUUUAAGGCCCCUGUCUAGUACAUUGUAGAUCGACUCUUUUAGGCCCCUGUCUAGUACAUUGUAAAUCGAUUCUUUUAGGCCCCUGUCUAGUACAUCGUAAAUCGAUUCUUUUAGGCCCCUGUCUAGUACAUUGUAGAUCGACUCUUUUAGGCCCCUGUCUAGUACAUUGUAAAUCGAUUCUUUUAGGCCCCUGUCUAGUACAUUGUAGAUCGUAACGUGUCCUAUCCGAUCAGGAACUCGUUCCUAAUAACAUAACUAUCCAACGUACAACUUAUCUUAGUCAUGUUUGUGAGAAAAUCGCUUCACAACUGUCCCUGGAAGUAGCAUUCAGAGAGAAAACAAUUUUAAAAAGAAAGGCAAUGUUGAAAAUAAAAAUAAAUUUCAAUUAAAAAGAAAAAGUGAGUUUUAGGCAGCUUGAUAAUCCUGAUUUACAGGUUUAAGUGGUACUGACAGUAGUAUGGUCAGUAUCUUGUGUCAGAAAUUCAGCACUAGCGUGGCACUACUUUGUAUUUUCUUACCCAUAAUGCAAUUUACAGAAUAGAUGGUUUUCAUAUGACGUAUUUUGACCCCGAGUUAUUCCCCUUGGCCGCCAUCUUGUAGGUCAAACUGGUGGAUUUUCCUCUUUGGGCAACCAAUUUCAAACAUUGACCAGAAUAACAAGGCUGAUUUUGGUUGAAUAAUGAAGGAAUCCGGGUAUGUUAACCUACAAUAUGGCGGCCAAUGGGAAAUAACUCUUGCUUAAUCGCUUCGAUGGAAAACCAUCUAUUGAUACAUAGUAGCAUCUAUGCACAUUUUUAUUGACUUAAAACUAAUUUGUAACACUUUUGAAAUGUUUUAUUUUCAUUUUUUAAUUAUAAUCAUAUACACUGUAAACAUAUCAAAAUAUCACUGCAAGUGUGCAUCCCUUGUGACAAGGGACAAGGCUUGUCUGUUUUCUUGUGGUGAAAAGAUUUAUUUCUCUACCAAGGCCUUUGUCGUUUUCUUAUCUGUAACUUUGACAUUUAGAUUUUAUUUUGACAUCAAAUGCACUCAGCUACAACAAUGUCCCACAAUUAGGCAACCCAUAAAGCAUGUAUGAAAUCAUUAAUAAUCUGCUAUGUAUAAGUCACAGUUGUAUGUAGAAGUCACAGUUGUAACCUUGCUCUUGCAUUUAGUCGUGUAAAGAAAGAAAACUGGGCUAUUCACCGAUUGUGGUUGACCCCGUAAAGAAGAUACAGUAAUUAAAAUUAUUGGCUAAAAGGUGUAUUAGAGUAAAAAUAUUUCGAACACCAAAGUCGUUCAAUCGGACAUAUGAAAGUUUGACUUUAAGUGAGAUAAAAAGUUAAUGUCUAUCCCUGUCCCCAGAGUAAAUAAAAAGUUAAUGUCUAUCCCUGUCCCCAGAGUAAAUAAAAAGUUAAUGUCUAUCCCUGUCCCCAGA